rnacentral:rRNA from 1 species
CCCUUAGAUGUUCUGGGCAGCACGCGCGCUACAAUGGUCUUCGCAAACGGAUGCAUUCUCGAAGGAGAAUGCCAAUCUUGGAAUCUAUGCCUUGGUCGGGACAGUUGCUUGCAAUUUUUCGACUCGAACCAGGAAUUCCUUGUAAUCGUGAUUCAUCACAUCACGAUGAAUACGUCCCUGCCCUUUGUACACACCGCCCGUCGCUCCUACCGAUCGAAGAGUUAGGUGAAUUGUUUUGAUCGCUAAGAUUUGACUAUGGUCAACUCUCGUUGUGAAAUUCUGUGAAUCUGACUGUUUAGAGGAAGGAAAAGUCGUAACA